UAAAGGUGGCUUUUGGGCUGUCGCAGAUGGAUGAGCCUGCGUUGGAUUAGCUAGUUGGUGGGGUAAGGGCCUACCAAGGCUACGAUCCAUAGCUGAUUUGAGAGGAUGAUCAGCCACAUUGGGACUGAGACACGGCCCAAACUCCUACGGGAGGCAGCAGUGAGGAAUAUUGGACAAUGGGGGCAACCCUGAUCCAGCAAUGCCAUGUGUGUGAAGAAGGCCUUAGGGUUGUAAAGCACUUUAGUUGGGGAAGAAAGCUUUGAGGUUAAUAGCCUUGAGGAAAAGGACGUUACCCAAAGAAUAAGCACCGGCUAACUCCGUGCCAGCAGCCGCGGUAAUACGGGGGGUGCAAGCGUUAAUCGGAAUUACUGGGCGUAAAGGGUCUGUAGGUGGUUUGUUAAGUCAGAUGUGAAAGCCUAGGGCUCAACCUUGGAACUGCAUUUGAUACUGGUAAACUAGAGUACGGUAGAGGAAUGGGGAAUUUCUGGUGUAGCGGUGAAAUGCGUAGAGAUCAGAAGGAACACCAAUGGCGAAGGCAACAUUCUGGACCGAUACUGACACUGAGGGACGAAAGCGUGGGGAUCAAACAGGAUUAGAUACCCUGGUAGUCCACGCUGUAAACGAUGAGUACUAGCUGUUGGAGUCGGUGUAAAGGCUCUAGUGGCGCAGCUAACGCGAUAAGUACUCCGCCUGGGGACUACGGCCGCAAGGCUAAAACUCAAAGGAAUUGACGGGGACCCGCACAAGCGGUGGAGCAUGUAGUUUAAUUCGAUGCAACGCGAAGAACCUUACCUGGUCUUGACAUCCUGCGAUCUUUCUAGAGAUAGAUUGGUGCCUUCGGGAACGCAGUGACAGGUGCUGCACGGCUGUCGUCAGCUCGUGUUGUGAAAUGUUUGGGUUAAGUCCCGCAACGAGCGC
rnacentral:rRNA from 1 species